rnacentral:tRNA from 1 species
GCCUCGGUAGCUCAGCUGGCAGUUUCGAAAGAAACAGACUUGUCUGUUUCGGCCUGCAACAGAGCGAUCGGCUUGUAACCGAUAGGUCGGGGGUUCGACUCCCUCCCGAGGCU